AGCUGCGCAGUGCCCCUUCAGCGAAGUGGGAGGAGGAACAGAAGGGGCUCUGUUCCUCCUUCCGCUUCGCUGAAGGGGCGCUGCGCAGUU